GUUCCUGAUCCUGGCUGGAUUCAUCAUCUUGUUCAUCUGUCUCCAUUUCACCUAAAACAAUCAGAAGAAUCAGGAAGAAAUGAGGUUCCAUGAGCUAUCAACACUGAAAAAAAAUCCUGAUAUUACAGGCCCUUUUGGACACUGAGGGUUGAAGAAAGCUUAUUCUUCUCUUGCUACAUGGCAAAGAGCUUUUAUUCCUAGCAGUGGUGAUGCCAAGCCCCUCCAGCCUCACAGGUCCGUGUUGCCAGUUCUGAAUGGACCCAUGCAGCUAAGAGGAGAAACACUUGGUGUCUCAAAUCCAUACAGCAGUGGUCAGUCAGGGUUUUUUCAAAAGAUUAUUUUUAGCGUCAACCUAAAUGAAUGGUUAGACUACCAAGUUACACCAGAUACUCAGAAACAAUACAGUGCAAACCACACUAAAAUAACUAUAAAUGAAAGCAUACUACAGGUAAAACUGCAUGUUCAAUCUGAGUGAUAUGACAAAGCCUACUGCCCAAAGAAGUCCUGCCCCUUCUCUGCUGAUCUUCAUCUGAUUGCGUAAUAAAACAUACUCACCUCACUAACCUGUCAAAAAACUAUGUUUCCUCCUCACUCUUCUCUGAAUUGUUUUUGGGCUGGUUUAGGAGAUCAAAUCAGUUCAGCUGAUCAGCUUAGUGUAAGGAAUGUCCAGAACAAAUUUCUAUAGGUUUUUAGUCAAGCACUACAUAAUGUGCUGACAGUGUGCUGUUUCACCAAAAACUUAAUUUAUCUUUUUCUAGUUUUUACCUGAUUAAUUAGUUUUGUCACUUUCACAGAAUAUUAAUUUAUGUUUGUAUGUAUAAGUCAGGAAGAUGUAAUUUCCCUUUUUCCUUAUAAAGAUUUCCAAAUUCCAGCCUAAGAUAACACCAAUGGUGGUACUGGAAUGCACAAGUAUCCAUCUGAACACAUCAAUUUUUGAGAUACAGAGCUGACUUUUUUUCUGAAAUAUCAGAUGCCACAACUUUUAAAAGAGUAGCUACUGAAGGAACUAAUGCAGUUGGCCACAAAUACGCUGAUUUUUUUCAACAUAACUGACAAAACUAAAUAAUUGCAAAUAUGUUUACUUCUUGAAAAGUAUGACAAUAGAGAGCUAUUUAAGAUCAUAAAGUCACAGGGAAAAAGCAUCCAGAAGCCAAUUUGAAAGGAAGCCUACAUUCUUAGUUUUCUCACGUUGUGGUAUGUUGUAGGUUACCAAGGAAGCCUCAAGGAAAGCAUCAAUAAAAAAAAAAAACCCAAACAUUAGAACCAUGACAAUCUACUAGACAGCAAAGUCACCAGAUUUACCCUCCCUGUUCAACGUAGCAGUUUUGGAUUUUAUUUAAAACACAUAGGUAAACUAACAAAUAUACCAACAGGUGAAGAAUAAUAGAAACCACAAAAGCUAAACAAAUACAGUAAAACUACAGAAAACCAUUUGUGAACUAAUGAGGUAACAGAACCGCACUUCACUUCAGGUACUGCAGCCUCCACAAGUUUUCUUUAACCACCAAAACGUAAGUGCUCAGUCUCUGAACCCAAACUGGUCUUUUAGCUAAAUGAUCACUGGCAAAAAUGGAACAGAACAUAGAAGCUACAAGACCAACCAUGAGACAAACUACAGAAGGGAAGGAUUGGUCUUCAACAUGACAAAGGUUGACACUGGAAUUACAGUUCCAUGUUACAUAUUAAUCAGUUGGGGGAAAAAAAAAAAAGAAAAAAGACAUUUCUGUAGCAGAGCAAUCUAUGGAUAACAACUAUUUAGGUAAUCAGUAUCAAGUGAUCUUAAUCAACCUCCAAGAAAAUUAGACAAACAAUGUGACUGGACAAAACGAUGCUUCACACAAUUUAUACAUCAACUGUAUUAGGUAACACUGCAUGCAUUGUUAACGUACAUACACAUGCAUACAAACACCAUGGAACAACUCUAAACUACUAAGUCAAAAAGGAGACCUAUUCACCUGUAAACACACAUAUAGUCUACUGUUUAGAUAGCAUAGCUGUAACUAGCAAGGUGUGGCAGGCAUUAAGAUACACAGGAAAAUGAACAAUAAAUAAUCUUUUAGUGUCGUAUCUCUCUCUCUCUAAAAAUAUAAAUGCUGUAGCCUCACUGGAAUACUCUGAUUCCAAUAUUAGACUAUGAUCCUGUUAGCAAGUCCACCUGUCCUACGAAAACUUCAUAUAGGUGGAAAAAUAAUAAUAAAAAGUCAACGUUAUACUUAUCUAAAUCCACAUAAUUUAAGUAUAGGAAAACUUUGACAAAGGAGUUUACAAAGACUCUUAUUGUUUAAUUGAUAAAAUGAAUGAAGAAAGAGGGCCAUCAAGACAGUCAGUGGCCUGAGAGCACUUGCUCUGUGAGAAAAGGCUGCAGCAUCAGGACUUAGCCUGCAGAAGAGACUGUUUCAGGGAUACCCAACAGGAGCCUUCUAGUACCUACACAGAAGUUAAGUAGAAGACGGAACCAGGCCUUCACAGUGGUGCACAGUGGGAGGACAAGAAACAACAGGCAUAGGCUGAAAUAAGAGAAGUUAAGGAUAUUAAGAAAAGUUUUCCUUGUAAGAAGUCACGCAGUGCAGCUGAGAGUUGUACAGCCUCCUUGCAGGUUUUCAAGACCCAACUGGAUAAAGCCCUGGGCAACCUGGUAUGACCUCAGAGCCAACCUUCCUUUGAGCAGGAGGUUGCACUAGAAACCUCCUGAAGUUCCCUGUAACCCAAAUAAUCCUAUGAUCCUAAUAUAAUGAGGAAACAUUUAUUCACAGCCUAUAAGGGGUAUCACAUAGAAAUAACACUAAGAAUAAAAUUUCAAAGCAAACAUCAUUACCUAUCAUGACAGUGAACUGGGGAAACAAGAAGCAGACAAUAAGAUCACAUCAAGCUAAAAAUUGAGUGUUCCUGUAAGAAUCAUGGCUCUUCAACUGUCCUAGUUAAUAACAAUUUUAUGCAAGGGACAUUGAUAUUUUGUAUAUCAGCCUUCUAAUAUAAGACAAGAGCUGACUCACUGAAAGAAAGAUCCAAGUAACAGGAGAAAAAGUAAAUUACUUUACACCUGUCCAUCCUACUUUUGUCUGAAGUGCUAAGUGUCAGAUGUAGAGAAAAGCGCUCAGCUAAUACACCCCUUAACCCAAAUUCUGUAUGCCAAUGGCAACUGAGACAGAACAUCAAAAACUUUAUCAUUUCAGGUUUCACUCUCAGCAAUAAUAUCCAAAGAGGGAAUAUUAAUCAGCUUUCGGAAGAAAAAAACCUGCUGAAAUACCCCACUGCAAAGCUCUCAACAGCUGUUGUUCAAAAGUCAAGUAUAUACAAUCACACAUGGAAAACCACAUAAACAUGAAGAUGUGGGGAGGAAAAAACCAAAAGAAGUGUUUUUAAUGGAAACAUUUACUUUCCUUCUUCUCCUGUUUUUGAAUCAAAAUAAACCCUUUGUGAACUCUUAGGUUUUCACUGUGAAAGAAAAAAUAAUUUUCCACAGAACUCUAAUCACUAAUAUCCCAAAAGGGCAAAGCAGUACUCAGGAAACAUCCACAGAUGGCAGCACAGCAAUGCUUCGUGAGAUUCAUAUUUUUCUCAGUUUUUUCAGCUUACAACAUAGACAUGUACGUAAGUGAUUGUGACUAAAACAUCUACUUGCCAAAUACUUUUUUUUUUGCUUGAUAGGGGUUCAAACAUUCAGAAUAAUGUUUUCAUAAAGUCCAAAAGCUCCCUUUUGUUUGUCACUCCUGUUUUAUUUAAUGCUCAGAUCUGCAAAAGCCAUUUAGGCCUUAAUAAAAAAUGAAGCCUUAGGUGUCAGCACUGAAGUAAAUUAAAAUGAUACACAGAAUAUCCCUUCAAAAGAAUCUGAAAAAAUCUAUACAGAAGUUCCAGUACAACAAAAAUAUUUAAUAGUAUUGAAUUAUUGCUUUUUGAUAAUAAGAAACUAUGAUACGACAACACUUGGGAGAAUUACAAGGGUCUCUUAAUCAUCUUAGCCUUACUCCUACUCAGCUUACAGCUGUUUAUGGUACAACAAAGGAUCUUACCUGUUUCUUCACCAUCUCUCCUCUAGUUGUCUUGAGCUCUGUAACACUGAAAGCCCCUACUCAGAAAACCAAAGGUUUCUUUACAUUAAUCACCUAGAAGGAUGAAGGGGCAAGCCUAACGUUACCUGUAGAUUGAAGAGCUAUUAACGAACUCGAAACAAUAUUUAAGAAACUGACAGGAUUAUCACAUUUCUACCUAGUACAGUUAAAGGGUAAAACCCUUCAGACAAGUUUGUCAGACUCUGGACAGCAAGUGCAAGGAACUGGCCCUCCUCUUCAAGGAACACUGAUGACAGUUUUGAUGCAAACCAUCUUCACUGUACAUCAGACAAGCAAAGAAAAGCUGUCUGAGAAAUGAAGCGGCUUCUGAAGCGGAAACGGCUCUUAUAUGAACAGUAAGGGGCCUCAAUGGUGUCUGGGAAGGACGAAGAUCUGAGAAAAGUGGUAAUCAGCAGGAGUGCAGAUAAACUAAACUCUGCUUCUGUUGAAGGAAGCUACAUUGAUUACACUCAGCAAUGACUCAAUGGAAGGGAUCACAGCACAGCUUUUCAAAUAGAACACAAAUGGAACUGAAAACUAUUUCAGAGUCUAGAACUCUACAGUAAAAUGUUUUGUUUAUCAGGAUAAAUCUGUUUUCUUUAAUACUGUGUUGACAUAAUUGUGAAGAAAACCAGCUUAAGGUGGCAAAUAAAACUACAGGAGGUAACCAAAGCAGAUCAGAGAAUCACAGAAUAGCUGAUGCUGCAAGGCAUCUCUGGAGAUGUCUAGUGAAAUCCCCUGCUCAAAGAAUGGUCACCUAGGCCAGGCUGCUUGGCACCGUGUCCAGUCAGGUUCUGAGCAUCUUCAAGGCUGGAUGAUCCACAGCCUCCCUGGAAACCCCAUUCCAUUGAUAACUCUCACUGUAAAAACAUAAUUUCUUAACUUAAAUGGAAUUGUCUGUGCUUCA